rnacentral:lncRNA from 1 species
CUUCCACCACGCAGAAGCUUUACUUUCGCUUUCACUUUACUUUUGCUUUCACUUUAACAAAUCUUGCAGCCGCACACUCUUUGGGUCCGCCCGUUUCUCUAAUCAAGUUGUAACACUCGCUGCUGUGGUCCACAGCUUCAUUCCUUGAAGCCCGUGAGACACGAACGCUUCCAUUGAGAAAAACCUUCCAUCAGAAGAAGACUUCUCGUCUCAGUGGGACUGCUGAGUUGAAUGGGUGAUGCACCGAACUACCCAG